rnacentral:rRNA from 1 species
CCUACGGGUGGCAGCAGUGGGGAAUAUUGGACAAUGGGCGAAAGCCUGAUCCAGCCAUGCCGCGUGUGUGAAGAAGGCCUUCGGGUUGUAAAGCACUUUCAGUGGGGAAGAAAGCCUUGGGGCUAAUACCCUCGAGGAAGGACAUAACCCACAGAAGAAGCACCGGCUAACUCCGUGCCAGCAGCCGCGGUAAUACGGAGGGUGCGAGCGUUAAUCGGAAUUACUGGGCGUAAAGCGCGCGUAGGCGGUCUGAUAAGCCGGUUGUGAAAGCCCCGGGCUCAACCUGGGAACGGCAUCCGGAACUGUCAGGCUAGAGUGCAGGAGAGGAAGGUAGAAUUCCCGGUGUAGCGGUGAAAUGCGUAGAGAUCGGGAGGAAUACCAGUGGCGAAGGCGGCCUUCUGGACUGACACUGACGCUGAGGUGCGAAAGCGUGGGUAGCAAACAGGAUUAGAUACCCCUGUAGUC